AGCUAUUAUGUUCGCCUAUCAACCAAGCCCUUGGAGCUAUUAUGCCUAUAUUCGAAACCGACACAGGUGGGUAGGUAGAGAAUACCUGGGAGCACGAGACAACUCUCUCUAAGAACUCGACAAAAUAGCCCCGUAACUUCGGGAGAAUGGGUGCCUCCUCACAAAGGGGUCGUAGAGACCAUGCUCAAGCGACUGUAUACCCAAAACACGGGUCUCCUCAAAGUCGUAAGACCAUUUAUGGGGACUGACGAUCCUAAGGUAGCGAAAUUCCUUGUCGGAAAAAUUUCGACCCACACAAAAAGCGUAAUGAUCUGGACACGGUCUCAACGUGGUAAAA
rfam:Vigna angularis cultivar Jingnong 6 chromosome 1, whole genome shotgun sequence.